rnacentral:sRNA from 1 species
AUUGUUUUUUUGGUUUUUUC